rnacentral:misc_RNA from 1 species
AAGUCGUAACAAGGUUUCCGUAGGUGAACCUGCGGAAGGAUCAUUAACACGUAUCCAAACGUAUACACCCCUGUGGUCCUGUGCGCGGCUCUAUAUGUAAGUGGUUUGAAACCUACUUUGUAACCUGCGUGGUUGCUUAUUGCAAAUCUCAACAAUCAGAUCACCUUGACCAGACCUGCGUGGUUUGGAGGUCCUCUGAUGGUUGAGGUCGGGUUCGACCAGUUUUCUGCGAGAAGACAGCUUCAUGUAGCAGACGUUUUAACCAAACCAUUUACCAAAUUUGUCUAAUUUAGAAAUAAGUAUGAUGCGCUCUGCUUUAUUUCGAUAUACGAAACGUAUAACAACUCUUAACAACGGAUAUCUUGGUUCUC